GGGAAAGAGGGAGGGAGGGGGAACAUAUGCAAGUCGAACGGCAGCACCGUAAGAGCUUGCUCUUACGGGUGGCGAGUGGCGGACGGGUGAGGCAUACAUCGGAAUCUACUUUUUCGUGGGGGAUAACGUAGGGAAACUUACGCUACUACCGCAUACGACCUACGGGUGAAAGCAGGGGAUCUUCGGACCUUGCGCGAUUGAAUGAGCCGAUGUCGGAUUAGCUAGUUGGCGGGGUAAAGGCCCACCAAGGCGACGAUCCGUAGCUGGUCUGAGAGGAUGAUCAGGCACACUAGAACUGAGACACGGUCCAGACUCCUAAGGGAGGCAGCAGUGGGGAAUAUUGGACAAUGGGCGCAAGCCUGAACCAGCCAUACCGCGUGGGUGAAGAAGGCCUUCGGGUUGUAAAGCCCUUUUGAUGGGAAAGAAAAGCAGCAGGUUAAUACCCCGCUGUUCUGACGGUACCCAAGGAAUAAGCACCGGCUAAAUUCGUG
rnacentral:rRNA from 1 species